UGAGGAAUAUUGGUCAAUGGUCGAGAGACUGAACCAGCCAAGUCGCGUGAAGGAUGACUGCCCUAUGGGUUGUAAACUGCUUUUAUGUGGGGAUAAAGUGCGUGACGUGUCAUGCAUUGCAGGUACCACAUGAAUAAGGACCGGCUAAUUCCGUGCCAGCAGCCGCGGUAAUACGGAAGGUCCGGGCGUUAUCCGGAUUUAUUGGGUUUAAAGGGAGCGUAGGCUGUCUAUUAAGCGUGUUGUGAAAUUUACCGGCUCAACCGGUGGCUUGCAGCGCGAACUGGUCGACUUGAGUAUGCAGGAAGUAGGCGGAAUUCAUGGUGUAGCGGUGAAAUGCUUAGAUAUCAUGACGAACUCCGAUUGCGCAGGCAGCUUACUGUAGCAUAACUGACGCUGAUGCUCGAAAGUGCGGGUAUCAAACAGG
rnacentral:rRNA from 1 species